rnacentral:rRNA from 1 species
GACGAAGGUGGCGAGCGUUGUUCGGAAUCACUGGGCAUAAAGCGCACGUAGGCGGUGACGUAAGUCGGAUGUGAAAUCCCUCGGCCUAACCGAGGAACUGCGUCCGAUACUGCGUUGCUUGAGGAUCAGAGGGGUGCAUGGAAUUUCCGGUGGAGCGGUGAAAUGCGUUGAUAUCGGAAGGAACUCCGGCGGCGAAAGCGAUGCACUGGCUGAUUUCUGACGCUGAGGUGCGAAAGCCAGGGGAGCAAACGGG